GUGAGGAAUAUUGGUCAAUGGACGCAAGUCUGAACCAGCCAUGCCGCGUGCAGGAAGACGGCUCUAUGAGUUGUAAACUGCUUUUGUACGAGGGUAAACGCAGAUACGCGUAUCUGUCUGAAAGUAUCGUACGAAUAAGGAUCGGCUAACUCCGUGCCAGCAGCCGCGGUAAUACGGAGGAUUCAAGCGUUAUCCGGAUUUAUUGGGUUUAAAGGGUGCGUAGGCGGUCGGAUAAGUUAGAGGUGAAAUCCCGGGGCUCAACUUCGGAAUUGCCUCUGAUACUGUUCGGCUAGAGAGUAGUUGCGGUAGGCGGAAUGUAUGGUGUAGCGGUGAAAUGCUUAGAGAUCAUACAGAACACCGAUUGCGAAGGCAGCUUACCAAGCUACUUCUGACGUUGAGGCACGAAAGCGUGGGGAGCAAACAGGA
rnacentral:rRNA from 1 species